GACGGAGGGGGCUAGCGUUGUUCGGAAUUACUGGGCGUAAAGAGCGUGUAGGCGGUUUGGUAAGUUGAGAGUGAAAGCCCGAAGCUUAACUUCGGAAUUGCUUUCAAAACUGCCAAUCUAGAGUGUAGUAGGGGGUGAUGGAAUUCCUAGUGUAGAGGUGAAAUUCUUAGAUAUUAGGAGGAACACCGGUGGCGAAGGCGAUCACCUGGGCUACAACUGACGCUGAGACGCGAAAGCGUGGGGAGCAAACAGG
rnacentral:rRNA from 1 species